GAGGAGGAGGAGGAGGAGGAGGAGGAGGAGGAGGAGGAGGAGGAGAGCGGGGAUGGCGAAGCUGAAAAAUUGCAUUUUGAUGGGUGGCAAAUUGAAUCAGCUCUGCUGCGGAGGCCCGAGGGCCAAGAGGCAGAUUGAAGCGGUCAUGUCAGCGCAGAGAUUACUGCCACGUGUGUGUGUGUCUGUGUGUGUCUGUCUGUGUGUGUGGCUGUGUGUGUGUGUGUGUGUGUGUGUGUGUCUGUGUGUGUGUGAGGGAUGAUUGCCUCCCGCCACUGUCAAAUGAGAAUAUUUGAGCUCACGCUGUGACAGCCACUCACGCCAUCUUCGUGCCCUGACAGCAUCUGCUCGCACAGGUGUGACUGAGAGGACUCAAAGUCACAUUGAAGGAAUCUGAAGCCGUCAUGGAUUCCUUCCCCCCCCCGCGGAGGAAGCGCUCGUCUCCCGGAUGUCUGAGUUGGCUCGGUGAGGGUUUGAACGUCGCACGUGGAACACGCCGGCAGCCCGGGCGCCACCGGGCAGACGGCGUGUUCCACGUGGACCUGUUAUUUCCCGUCUGUCGCGUGUCGCCUCACUGUGGUCUGUUUAUCAGAGCAGCAAAGUCACGUUUUGUCUCUGGAGGCGGUCGUGAAUGCAACAAGAGCCCGAAGAAGUAGAGAAAGAGGAGGAAGAGGAGGAGGAGGAGGCGGAGGUGAACGAGGAGGAGGAGGAGGAAACGUUUUAAUCCCUUCAGGGGGGAUUUAGUUUUUCUUUAAAGCCUGAAAUAGACAUGCACAGAGCGGGGAACAAGGGAAGCUUCGUGCUGCCUUGCCCAAGGGCACCUUCGUAUAUCCAACCGGAAGUGUUUUCUAUCAAACCGUAAAAUUUGCUCAGUAAAUUAUGGUCCAUUUUCAGUGAAACAGACCAUACAGCAGGGGAUGCUUUAGGGCGGGGCUACACACUGAUUGACAGGUCACCUAAUAGACCAUACAGCAGGGGAUGCUUUAGGGCGGGGCUACUCACUGAUUGACAGGUCACCUAAUAGACCAUACAGCAGGGGAUGCUUUAAGGCGGGGCUACUCACUGAUUGACAGGCCUCUCUACCACGGCUUCCUUAUACAACCAUCUUUCAACAGGUGACACUAAAUGUAGUAUUUAUGAGUUUCCUGUGAAGACAGAAGUUCACUUUGAAAAGAUCACACGCACGUAACCCGGCUGUGACACUUGAUGCUGGACUUUCUUGGGAUAUAUUUGAAAAACGAGGGGUGACUUUUGCAAAGAUCCAUUAAAUUCCAGUUUAAUGAUGUUCAAAUUGUACAUCAUUGUGUAUAAUUAUAAUUACUUAGGCUUUGUAGAGAGAUUCAGUCAAUAUCUCGCAGACUAAUGUAUUUAUUUACCACAUCUUUUCUUCUUUUUGUAAUUUGUUCCUGAGAUCUAAAAUGGAUUCCCACAGACUGUCGAGACCCUUUGUCUGUUUCCAAGCAGAUUGGUGGAAUAUUGAAAGCUCUCGAUGUCUUUUGAUCUGCGCAGGAACGUGAACCAAUAAGAGCCGCGCGGAUACAGGAAGCAGAAGAAGGAGCGAUGAAGGAGAGGAAGCGGAGACUCCUCCGGGUCAGUGGAGCGGUCUCGUCUCUGCUGGUAUCCAGUGAGGACGGAGCUCCUCAGCUGCUCUCCAGGGGCUCUCUGAUUGGCUGGCUGUCCCCCAACACGCUACCACAAGGAUUGAUCAUAACAAAGACAGAUCGGCGCAUCUGAGCGCUAAUUCCUUUUGCCAGAAUGGUGCGAGAACCACUUAGAUUAGAUAAACACGGCCCAGUGCGGCUUUGCAUGACUGGAGAAACUCGGCCUGAUGGGAGUAGUUUGCAAGGAAAAUAGCAAAAAACGAGUUUCCCUCGACCAGCAAACACAGAUAUUGGUUUUCGUGAUGCCGCGGUGACCCUCGUGGCCCAGGUUCUGCUCCAUCACCCUGAUCACAGGUGACAGCAGGUCCUCCGCCUAUCGACGAGCACCUGGUUUAGUAAACGCACGCAAGACACAAAAGACACAAAAGACACAAGUGUUUGUGGUGGAAUCCUAAUGGAAGAGUAAAACAAGCGCUUCACGGUGACCCAAAGGCCGCUGGCUUCUCUUCUCUGCAAAUGGCGCGAAUGUCACUGGAGAGGUCGUCUGCAUUUUUCACACAUUAUUAACAAGACGCUGACGCCGCACUGCAUUCUGGUCCCUCUCCUCACCCCAUGCGGAGGGAGAAAAUUGUUCGCAGCGCGUGUUCUCGGGUAGAUUUCUCCCAGUGUGACGGGCGUCCGUCGCUCGGGGAUUCAGACAGACGGACAAAAUCCACAUUUUAGCUCAACGAAACGUGUCUGAUUGAUUCACUGCAGGAGGUCUGGAAAUAUCUUAAUGGGGGCGGAAAGUUUCAGAUAUUUUGCCUCAAAUUGUGAAUCAGAAGUAGACCUGUCAAUCAACGUGUAGCCCCGCCCUAAAGCAGGUUUAUGGUCUGUUUGACUCAUCCUCCAGCAGAGACCAGUCCACUGUGGACAGACCCACAAGCUCCAGCAGAGACCAGUCCACCGUGGACAGACCCAGAUCCUCCAGCAGAGACCAGUCCACCGUGGACAGACCCAGAUCCUCCAGCAGAGACCAGUCCACCGUGGACAGACCCACAACCUCCAGCAGAGACCAGUCCACCGUGGACAGACCCAGAUCCUCCAGCAGAGACCAGUCCACCGUGGACAGACCCAGAUCCUCCAGCAGAGACCAGUCCACUGUGGACAGACCCAGAUCCUCCAGCAGAGACCAGUGCACCGUGGACAGACCCGACAUAAUCCCCAAUCCCUCUUUUAGCAGUUUUAUGUAAAGUAGCCUUCAAAUACCUCAGGCCUCCUCAGCCAUUUCUUCUCUAAAGCUUUAAUGGAUUUUCCAGUUUUUUUUAUUGCACUGGAUUGUUCAGAAGAAAAGCCGUUAGUCGGCACAGCCGGUAAAAGCUCAGAACCCCUCCAGGUCUUAAAGACCUCGUCUCCUCUCAUUACCUCCAUGGAGACUAAUGACGGCCCAGCACAGCAACUUAACCAGCUCCAAUGAGUUGCUCUCUGUGGCGGCACUUUGCAUCCCAUGACAACGAGUCGAGCGAGUAUAGAUACUCACAGGAGACUCCACUGGGUACAUUUGGUAGCAUUACUAAAUAUUUAUUAUUUGAUUAGGAAAAGAUAAUUCACCUCACAACGUGAUUAUGAGUAUAGACCUUUCAAUGAAAGAUCUCACGAUGAAGAGAAAAGAUCUUGUACAAGAUGAGGUGCUGUCAUUUUGGGUUCUCCUAAUCACUGGAGGUGUAACAAUUCAUCUUAACAACGAUUCGAUUCAUGGACGAUGUGGGUUAAUUUAGAACGACUCGAUUCAGUGACUUGAAAUCGAUUCAGUAACUUUACUGGACGGUGCAGGCAAAGUUUCUGAGAUCCCUGUUGUUUCUGUAAGGAAAUCAGGUUUAAAUUAAUUAUGGAUAUUAUAAACAAGCAAACAACAAUUAAUGGCAAAUGUAUUAACCUUUUAUUUGAAUCAGGUGCCAUUUUCAAUGUAAACAUUACACAAUAAUUACACAGUGUUUGGAUUUCACAUAACCCUGAAUGUUCAACCACAUUGUAGGGUCGCACGUCUUUACAGAUAAACUUGUUCCUGUGAUGUGAGUUUGGUGCUGGAGGCCUGAGGCGUCUGCAGAGCUGAGUUACCUGCUGCUGCUGCAGCGGUGACGCUGCUGGAGGUCCUGACUGUCGCCGUUGUUUAAUCCCACGGCGCCUUAGUAGACGGCCGCAAAGAUCCGUCGUGUUUCCGUGUUUUUUUAUUUGGCUUCUACAUAUUCUACAAACAGCGACCGACUUAUUUAGAACACCUCCGUGUUUGCAGAAGCCAAAAUGUUUCCACGCGCUGGAUCGAUGACUUGGUUUGUAAAUGUCUCGCUCGCUGUCGUCUCCUCCACGCUCCCCCCCUCCCUCCAUAUCCUCCCUGAUGUUUCUGAUUCCGAUCCUUUGGCCUGUGAUGUGUAUGUGUGUGUUUCUCCUGGAGGAGAGAUCUGUUGGUAGAUGUCUAAAAUGUCUCCGUCCUCCGACCGGUCGAUGCUCUUUUGACUUUCUCCUCUCGUCCUUAUUUUACUUUGCCGGCUGCACGCCGACAAACCGCCAUACGAGACAAAGACAGGAGACAGGAGACAGGAGACAGGAGCGCUGCAGCAUGUGGCGAGUAUCAGACUAAUCCAACGCCUGCGGGAGGAUCUCCUCGAUCCUCUGAGUCCAAUUACAGAGUGUUGAGUGAGCAGACGUCAACCACCUCCACACACACACACACACACACAUGCACACACACAUGCACACACACACAUGCACACACACACACACACACAUGCACACACACAUGCACACACACAUGCACACACACGCACACACACGCACACACAUGCACACGCACACAUGCACACACACACGCACGCACACACAUGCACACGCACACAUGCACACACACGCACGCGCACACAUGCACACGCACACACACAUGCACACACAUGCACAUGCACACAUGCACACGCACGCGUGCGCACACACGCACGCGCACACAUGCACACGCACACACACGCACACACACACACACACACACACACGCACAUGCACACACA
ensembl:lncRNA